UUCGCCUACGGGACGCAGCAGUGGGGAAUAUUGCACAAUGGGCGCAAGCCUGAUGCAGCGACGCCGCGUGCGGGAUGGAGGCCUUCGGGUUGUAAACCGCUUUUGUUCAAGGGCAAGGCACGGCUUCGGGCCGUGUUGAGUGGAUUGUUCGAAUAAGCACCGGCUAACUACGUGCCAGCAGCCGCGGUAAUACGUAGGGUGCGAGCGUUAUCCGGAUUUAUUGGGCGUAAAGGGCUCGUAGGCGGUUCGUCGCGUCCGGUGUGAAAGUCCAUCGCCUAACGGUGGAUCUGCGCCGGGUACGGGCG
rnacentral:rRNA from 1 species